rnacentral:rRNA from 1 species
AAACGACUCUCGGCAACGGAUAUCUCGGCUCUCGCAUCGAUGAAGAACG